rnacentral:rRNA from 1 species
GACGGACGCUGGCGGCGUGCCUAAUACAUGCCAGUUGAGCGAUGAAGAUUGGUGCUUGCACCAAUUUGAAGAGCAGCGAACGGGUGAGUAACGCGUGGGGAAUCUGCCUUUGAGCGGGGGACAACAUUUGGAAACGAAUGCUAAUACCGCAUAAUAACUUUAAACAUAAGUUUUAAGUUUGAAAGAUGCAAUUGCAUCACUCAAAGAUGAUCCCGCGUUGUAUUAGCUAGUUGGUGAGGUAAAGGCUCACCAAGGCGAUGAUACAUAGCCGACCUGAGAGGGUGAUCGGCCACAUUGGGACUGAGACACGGCCCAAACUCCUACGGGAGGCAGCAGUAGGGAAUCUUCGGCAAUGGACGAAAGUCUGACCGAGCAACGCCGCGUGAGUGAAGAAGGUUUUCGGAUCGUAAAACUCUGUUGGUAGAGAAGAACGUUGGUGAGAGUGGAAAGCUCAUCAAGUGACGGUAACUACCCAGAAAGGGACGGCUAACUACGUG